AAAUUAUCAAGAAAGGACGAGGGAACAGACCCAUCGACUCCUUAGCAACCCUUCAUUUAUGUAAAUAUUUGGAGAAGGUGCUAAAUUCUGCUCACAACUGGUGAGACAAGAUGAUAC
rnacentral:ncRNA from 2 species